rnacentral:rRNA from 1 species
AUUGAACGCUGGCGGCAUGCUUUAUACAUGCAAGUCGAACGGUAACAGGCCGCACGGUGCUGACGAGUGGUGAAGGGGUGAGUAAUGCAACGGAACGUGUCCAGUCCUUGUAGAUAACUACUCGAUAGAGUAGAUAAUACCUCAUACGAGAUAUGAUAGAAAGCGGGGGACUGUAAGGCUUCGCGCGAUUGGUGCGGUCGCUGCCAGAUUAGCCAGCUGGUGGGGUAAAGGCUCACCAAGCCAACGAUCUGUAACUGUGCUGAGAGGACGACCCGCCACACUGGGACUGAGACACGGCCCAGACUCCUACGGGAGGCAGCAGUGGGGAAUCUUGGGCAAUGGGCGCAAGCCUGAUCCAGCAAUGCCGCGUGCAGGAAGAAGGCCUUCGGAUUGUAAACUGCUGUUGUACGGAACGAAACGACUCUGGUUAAAACCCGGAGGUAAUGACGGUACCGUAUGAAAAAGCACCGGCUAACUACGUG